rnacentral:tRNA from 1 species
CUCAGAAUGGCUGAAGAUAAGCGGAGGGUUGUAAACCCUUAUAUGAACGUUUGUUCUUCUGUGA